ACACAUCUGCUUCUGACUUCUUCUGCCUCCCUCUUGAACAUGUAAAGACAUUUGUGAUGAAAAUGGGCCUACACAGGCAUAUAAAAAUCAGCAAAGUUAAAAACUGACCUGCCGGGCGCAGUGGCUCACGCCUGUAAUCCUGGCACUCUGGGAGGCCGAGGCGGGUGGAUUUCCUGAGCUCAGGAGUUUGAGACUAGCCUGGGAAACAUGGCGAAACCUUGCCUCUACUAAAAAUACAAAAAACUAGCCGGGCAUGGUGAUGCGUGCCUGUAAUCCCAGAUACCCAGGAGACUGAGGCAGGAGAAUCGCUUGGACCAAGACAGCGGCACCGCACUCCAACCUGGGAGAUGGAGCAAGACUGUCAAAAAACAAAACAAAAAAAACCUACUAGAAGCAAGGCUGUGAGCAGAAAACUAAAAACUGAAACAGAAACCACAAUUUUCCAAAUGCUACUGUUACUUACAAAAUAAGAAAGCAUUAUACUAAAUCAAUAUCUAAGACACAAACUAAGUUCAAACUCAACAACAGUGUAUUUAGAUUUACAUAUAUCAAGAAGACACCAUUAAUACAGUGAACUAACAUUAACUCUAUACAGAAGUAUAUUUUUGAAAAUAAGAAAACUGCUUCUUUGAGUAACUUGUUUGGUUGACAUAUUCUGACAAAUCUUGUAACCAAGAUAUGGGGGUCUCACUUUGUUGCCUAGGCUGGAGUGUAAUGGUGAUUCUGACAAAUGAUCAUAGCACGCUACAACCUCUACAUCCUGGGCUCAAGAGCUUCUCCUGCCUCAGCGUCCCAAGUAACUGGGACUACAGAUUUCAGUUUAGGUUUAUCCGUGGAAAGAUGGAGGAAUGAGAGCUAGAGAACAAGAGAGCAAGUGAGAGUAAUGGAAAGUCCAAAGGAAAAAGAUGGACAAGACGAAUGAAGGGAAACAAGAAGGAAAAGAGAGAGGCAGAGGGAGAGGGAGACUUAUUUGAGGAUUUAUUUUUUAAUCAGUAGUUGAUGUUGAUUUUUUCAAAUAAUUCUUAAGUCUUUAGCUUUUUGUGUUAUUAAAAUUUUAAAAUAUAGAAAAAUUUAAUCUAUUACUAUGGUCUCAAUCGAUUUUCUAAUAAUUGUCUUUCGUACAUUUGCAUGUCCCAUGAUUUUUUACAAGUCAAAUCCCAUGACAUCUGUCUGAGGUGGGGCAAAGUAAAAGUAUUACGAAGGUUGCUAUUAUAAACUGUUCUGUAGAUGAUAACAUCUUUGCUGAGCUAUAAAAGCACACUCAUGGGGUAAGAGGAGACAGAAGACAGUGUGAUUUAAACAGCUAAUUACUGGAAAUAGUGAGAUAUCAUAUCAGAUAAAUAAGGUGAUCAUAAAUGGAUGUCGAUCCCAGAGUGUGAUGCAAUUAUGCUCUUUCCUGCCAUCACCUCAGCACAAGAGAAUAAAACUCUUAGUUUUAUCUCUUAGACAUGAUUUGUACUAAUAGCUGAUAGGAGAAACCCCCAAAUUAGUUUUCUCUUGAAUAUAUUUGGAUUUCUGCUGAUCUUUAAGCUCUGAGGACUCCUUAAAAUCUGGAAAAGAAGUGACACACCUUUAUAAGUAGUGAACAUUCUACCAAAUGAUAUUUAUGUAAGUGAUCUAUUGCUGCAUAAUAUAGUAGAACAAACUCAGCAGCUAAAAACCAGCACACAUGAUUCUCUCAUAGCUUCUCUGCAUCAGAAAUCCAGUUAUGGCUUAACUGUAUCCUCUGCUUCAGGGUCUAUCACAAGGCUAUCAUGAGGAGAUAGAACAGUACUGGGUUUUUAUGCGAAAUUAGACUUGAGAGACUCUUACCCCUUCCAAACUAACAUGGUUGUUGGCAGGAUUUAAUUCCUGGCAGCUGGUAGGAUUGAGAGACUUGGUUUCCUGCCAGCUGUUGGCUGAAGGCCUGAGUUCUUUGUCAUUUGGACCCCUCGAAUAUAGCCCCUAGCUUCAUCAAAGUGUGCAAGCAAAGGGAGUGGCCACAGCAGAGACGGAGUUAAUUAGUAAGAUAGAAGGUAAAAUUGUAUAUCAUGUUAUCAUGGAAGUAACGUUCUAUCAAUCACUGUGCCACAUUCUGUUGGCUAAAAGCAAAUUACAACUUCCUGUUUCAGCUCCAGCAUGUAAAGAGCUUUGAAGUGAUGGCUUGGUUCUUACACAAAGAUACAAGAAAAAUAAACCAAAAUUUGACAACUAUUUUUGUAUCUGUCAGAGAAAUGAAAUUCAGAGAGGUGAAAAUGUGAUGA